rnacentral:tRNA from 1 species
GGGUUAUUAACUCAGUUGGUUUAGAGUACUUGCUUGACAGGCAAGAAGUCACUGGUUCGAAUCCAGUAUAACCCACAA